rnacentral:rRNA from 1 species
UACGUAGGGUGCAAGCGUUAAUCGGAAUCACUGGGCAUAAAGCGCACGUAGGCGGCCAACUAAGUCAGACGUGAAAUCCCCCGGCUUAACCUGGGAACUGCGUCUGAUACUGGGAGGCUAGAGUGCGGGAGAGGGAUGCGGAAUUCCAGGUGUAGCGGUGAAAUGCGUAGAUAUCGUAAGGAAGACCAGUGGCGAAGGCGGGUCUCUGGACAGUUCCUGACGCUGAGGCACGAAGGCCAGGGGAGCAAACGGG